AUUGCUGUUGAAUAUCUUUAAUAUAUCAAAACCUGCAAGGUGCUAGACAUACAAGAACAUGAAAAUGAAAAGAAACAUAUGAUCUGACAGCUUCUCCAUAAGAGGAAAAUCCUUAAUAGCUAAAUACUUGUUCAAAGUAUUCCUUGAAGCAAUCUCCAUUUUUUUUCACGGUUAUGGUCAUCAAGAUAAAAAACAAAACAAAACAGAAAACAAGUUAUUUUGCCUUUAAGUCUCCAAAACUGGCUGUAUCCUCAACUUCUGUUUGCAUAUGCAGUUACAGUCUCAGAAUUUCUCCAACUUAAAGCAAAACGUAGAAGCAAGAUAAGACUAUUGGCUUAAGAGAUUGAAAAGAAAGGAUGGAGUUUCCCAUUUUAUUUAGAAUUCAGAUUCUUUUUGAGCCAUUACUGUCCAUUUCUCUUGGUGUCUACCCAAUGGCCUAAUGUUUAACUAUGCGAGACAUUCCAAGUCUAUUUUAUACACACACACACACACACACACACACACACACAAUAGUGCUGUGUUCUGAAUGUGUGUGUCCCUGAAAAAUUCAUAUAUUAAAAUUUAAUCCUCAAUGCAAUAAUAUUAAGAGGUAUGGACUUUGGGAGUUGAUUAGAUCAUGAGGACUCUGCAAUCAUGAAUGGCAGUUGUGCUCUUGGGAGCUUGGGGGCCCUUUUGCCACGUAAGGAUACAGCAAAAGGCACCAUCUAUGAAGAAGAGAGCAAGCCUUCACCAAAAAUCUGCUAGUAUAUUGAUCUUGAACUUCCCAGCCUCCAGAACUGUGAGAAGUAUAUUUCUAUUAUUUACAAAUUACCCAAUAUAGAGUAUAUUGUUAUAGCAGCCCAAAUACAGUGACACAAUAGCAAAAACUUACAUUAAAAUUAUUCUUAGAUUUGAUCUAGAAAAUACUGCUUUGCUACAUAUAAGAAAACAAAUAUACCAGAUUACCAAGAAAGAUACUUGAUUAUGGAUUUUCUGACUUCCAACUUGGGGCUCUUUCAGUGAUACGGAAGUGAAAAUUAAAAAUAAGUGUGAAGUACUAAAAUAAAUUCAACAGAAAAACACCCCCAACUCCAUUGCAAGCUAGCUCACAUAGUCUGAGAAAAACAAUGCUAAACAACAUAUAUGUUAUUUUGUUUUGUUUGCUUAUAUCUUCUGAGAUAGAAAAAAUCCAAAUCUGUUGUUCUCCUUGUCUUGGAGCUGACCCUUUCCAGCAGAUGAUAUCACCUCUAAGAGAUGGGAGUCUCACUGUUUUGCCCAAGCUGGUCUUGAAUUCCUGGCCUCAAGUGUUCCUCCCGCCUCAGACUCGCAAAGUGCUGGGAUUACAGGCAGAAGUCACUGCUCCAGGCCACAUUAUUUUUAUGAUUAUUAUGAUUAAUACUUUUAAAUAGUUGUACUUUGGGUUCUUGGGAACCCAGAGAAAUAACAUUCUUCACAAAGUUAGUUCAAAGGAUUUUUUAAAGCUUAGUGCUACCGUUCUAAAUGACUUUUUAAAAGAAAAGCAUUCAGUAUUUUAAGAAACAUAUAAAUUGAAUUUUGUGAUUAUCUGAAUCGGUGUUUUAGUUAGCAAUGUAAUGAGAGUAAAAGUAACUAAACAUUAAACUUUCUAAUAGAUUUCAGUUCAAUACUAAUACUACAGGGUUGAUGCUUGCAUUUCUUAGAAAGAGCAGGAAAAUAAAUAUAUAUGUAUAUUUAAUUAUAAACAGAAGGCAGAGUUAGUUUACAACAUUUAAAAAAAAUCUAGAUUGCAUACUUUAAUUUUCACCAUGCAAAAAGUUGGAACUUGUAACUUCCAAUGAGUCAAUCUUUGGCUAUUUUUCACAAUCCACAAGUCCAUGGUUUUUCUAUAAAAUAAGCACUAGUAAUAAAAAUCACAGGACACUAUUUAAUAUGUUUGGUUGUAUUAUAAUAUUGAGAAUAAUUGGAGGAUAAAAUACUUUCUUUUAAAACAUCACCUUUUCAGUGUCUGUUUCAAAAAUAUAGAAUAAAUUUAAUUUUUAAAAUUCUCUAAGUUUUCUAUAACAUCUUGAAAUCAUUUGUGAUACUGUGAUGCCACAAUACCAGAGUGCCCCAGACUAAAAUAAAACAAAACAAUCAAAUAUACAAACAUAAAAAUAAAACCAGCCAAGUACAUAUGGGUGAAUAUGGUAUUUUUAUAGCAUUAAUUUAUGGGGUAGUUAGACAUUUCUUUUCUUUUUGCCAUUCGUGGGGUGUGAGUGAAUUAUAGAUGAUAUAAGAAUGUUGGUAUAUUGAUAAUCAUUGAAUCUGGAUGAUGGUAUGUGGAGGUUCAUUAUGCAAUUCUGUCAACUUUUUCUACAUUUGAAAUUUUCCAUAAUGAAAGUUGAAAAAAAAAACAGAAACAAAACAAACAAAUGAAAAACACCAUGAAGUGAAAAGACAAGCCACAAGGUAGAUGAAUGUUUUUGCAAUAAGAAUCACUAAAACAAGAUUAGUAUGCACAGAAAGAUUCGUAUGUAGACUAUUUAAAGAACUGCCAUAAAUCAACAAGA
rnacentral:lncRNA from 10 species